rnacentral:rRNA from 1 species
GUACACUCCUGCGGGAGGCAGCAGUGGGGAAUUUUGGACAAUGGGGGCAACCCUGAUCCAGCAAUGCCGCGUGAGUGAAGAAGGCCUUCGGGUUGUAAAGCUCUUUUGUCAGGGAAGAAACGGUGGUGGCGAAUAACUACUACUAAUGACGGUACCUGAAGAAUAAGCACCGGCUAACUACGUGCCAGCAGCCGCGGUAAUACGUAGGGUGCAAGCGUUAAUCGGAAUUACUGGGCGUAAAGCGUGCGCAGGCGGUUGUGUAAGUCAGAUGUGAAAUCCCCGGGCUCAACCUGGGAAUUGCAUUUGAGACUGCACGGCUAGAGUGUGUCAGAGGGGGGUAGAAUUCCACGUGUAGCAGUGAAAUGCGUAGAUAUGUGGAGGAAUACCGAUGGCGAAGGCAGCCCCCUGGGAUAACACUGACGCUCAUGCACGAAAGCGUGGGGAGCAAACAGGAUUAGAAACCCGAGUAGUCCCAUGA